CGGAGAGAAAGGCGCCGCCGUGGCUUUGGUGGGGGAGCAGGGAUCGUUAACCUGGGGGGAGGAAGCGGGGGACAGAUCAGCGGCUACAACGGGAGAGCAAAGUUUAAUUUAUGAAUCAAGCCCAGUCCCGCAGCGGCUCGUGGAGAUUAGCAGUAACAAUAGCUCGAAGCAGGCGAAACAUCCCCAUCCCCCCCCGCCGCCCGGUCUGGUCUCCAAGCAAAGAAAUCUGUAGUCUUCACCUGAGAGCAAUUUUCAAUACAGAAAGGCGGCGGGGUGGAGUGGGAAAUUCAUUCAUGGUCUCCAGCCGGUCUGCCCACAGAAUUCAUGAUGAUCUCUUGGACACAAGGGAGAAUUUCCUGUAAAUUUGUAUCCAGUAGGGAAUUUUCAGAUCCAAUGAGGUUCACGCCAGCUGAACACUCUGCACUGGAAGUCAGCGUGAGGGAUUUCUUUUCCUCCUCCCAAAAUCCUGGAGCCCAGAGAAAUGCUGCCAGUUCACAGGAAACUGAAGAGAGGGUUAGAUUUUCCUCAGAUCAUUUUUGUCCUCAUUGUCCUCCGCCUCAUUUAUUGCCACUCUUUAUUUGUGCAAAAAUCCAAAGGAUCAGCGUUUUUCCUCUGAAGCAGACCGUGCCAGUAUUCCUCCACAACUAGAAGGAAUAAUCACAUCCGAGACAAGAUUUUAGAAAAGAAAAGGGGGUGUGAGAGAGAUUUGGGAGAGGUGGGUCUUUCUUAGAGGCAGGGAUUUCUCCCUGUGCUACUUGGUGGUAUGGUAACUUCUUUCCUUCACCACGGUUUCAGACUGAGUUGAAAGAAAUCCUCCAAAAAUCUCAGGAUCCAGUCUCUGGGAGGAGCCUCGGAGUUGCUUGCAGCCAAUAUCUUUCAGCCCAUUUUUGCCUGACAAUUUUGUAAGGAGAAGGGGAAAGCACACAGCCCUUCUUGAACAGCAGAGGAGCUGCAGACUGCUUGCAACGGCCACCUGAAAAGGCUAGAUAUAUGCUUCUGCUGGGGCUUAACUACAGACAGCUUGCUGUUGACUGACUGAGGAGGGUCCAUUUUAUUUGCAGUAUUUCUUGAUUGACAUUUGUGAUUUUCCCUCCCUCUAUAAGAGAAGGGGGGGUCAACUUGCCACCACCAAACCAGUUUGUUAAUGGUUGACAUUCAGAGAGUGUAUUGAAUAUGAUUUUGAAAAUGUUCUGCAUGGGGGGGGGGGUAUGAGUGAGAAGAGUGUACAUGAGAGAAAAGCAGGGUGCAAUGUUUGAAGCACCUGUGGUAGUCUCUGGCAUUUCUCUUCUUAAAUGACAUCUGACAUUAUAUUAGCUUCAUGUGUAGACAAAGACCUCUGAAUACCAAGUGGUUAACAAUAAAACACUUAUGAUCUUAA